rnacentral:rRNA from 1 species
AGGGGGGAGCGUGUCCGGAAUUACUGGGCGUAAAGAGUACGUAGGCGGUUCGGUAAGCGCAUGGUGAAGGCAUCGGCUCAACCAGUGUCAGCCGUGCGAACUGCCGGGCUUGAGUGCGGGAGAGGAAGCGGAAUUCCUGGUGUAGCGGUGAAAUGCGUAGAGAUCAGGAGGAACACCGGUGGCGAAGCGGCUUUCUGGACCGUAACUGACGCUGAGGUACGAAAGCGUGGGGAGCAAACAGGAUUAAUACCCUGGUAGUCCACGCCGUAAACGAUGAGUAUUAGGUGUCGGGUCCGCAGGGAUUCGUGCCGCAGUUAACGCAAUAAAUACUCCGCCUGGGGAGUACGCACGCAAGUGUAAAACUCAAGGAAUUGACGGGGACCCGCACAAGCAGCGGAGCAUGUGGUUUAAUUCGAAGCAACGCGAGAACCUUACCAGGGCUUGACAUCCUCCCGACAGACCGGGUAAUGCCGGUCCUUCUGCGGAGGGAGAGACAGGUGGUGCAUGGUUGUCGUCAGCUCGUGUCGUGAGAUGUUGGGUUAAGUCCGCAACGAGCGCAACCCUUGUCGUCAGUUACUAACAUUAAGUUGAGGACUCUGACGAGACGCCGGGGAGAACUCGGAGGAAGGUGGGGAUGACGUCAAAUCAUCAUGCCCCUUAUGUUCUGGCUACACACGUGCUACAAUGGCCGGUACAGAGAGCAGCGAGACCGCGAGGUGGAGCAAACUGAAAAAACCGGUCCCAGUUCGGACUGCAGGCUGAAACCCGCCUGCACGAAGUUGGAGUGCUAGUAAUCGCGGAUCAGAAUGCCGCGGUGAAUGCGUUCCCGGGUCUUGCACACACCGCCGU